CCCACUGCCCGCUGCAUGCACCUCCACGCCAUGGCUGGCCUCAACUCCCUGGAGGCAGUGAAACACAAGAACCAGGCCCUGCAGCAGCAGGUGGACGAGGCGGAGCACCGCGCACAGGGCCUACAGUGUGGGAGCUGGAUGGCGAGCGUGAGUGGUGAGAGAAAGCUGAAGGUGAUGUGGCAGCUCUCAGUUGACACAUCCAGCUCAUUGAAGAGGAGUUGGGCAGGGCUCAGGAACGACUGGCCACAGCCCUGCGCAAACUGGAGGAGGCAGAAAAGGCUGCAAAUGAGAGCAAAAGAGGAAUGAAGGUGAUAGAAAACUGGGCAACGAAGAUGAGGAGAAGAUGGAGGUUCAGGAGAUGCAGCUCAAAGAGACCAAGGACAUUGCUGAGGGGGCUGACCACAAAUACGAGGAGGUAACUCGUAAGUUGGUCAUCCUGGAGGGUGAGCUGGAGAGGGUGGAGGAGCGUGCCAAGGUGUCUGAACUAAAAUGUGGUGACCUGGAAGAAGAACUCAAUGUCACUAACAACUUGAAGUUGCCAGAGGCUGCAUCUGAAAAGGAGUAUGAACAUGAAGAAGAAAUUAAACUUCUAUCUGACAAACUGAAAGAGGCUGAGACCCGUGCCGAAUUUGCAGAGAGAACAGUUGCAAAACUGGAAAAGACAAUUGAUGAGCUGGAAGAAAAACUUGCCCAGGCCAAAGAAGAGAACGUGGGCUUACAUCAGACACUGGAUCAGACACUAAAUGAACUAAACUGUAUAGAACCAAAACAGAAGAGUUUUGUUCCAACAAAAACUCCAGAGCUCCGUGUCUUUCUCUUCUCUUGUAAGAAGUUUCUUUUGUUAUUGUCUCUUUGCUUUGCUGGAAAUGUCAAGCAAAUUAUGAAUACAUGACCAAAUAUUUUGUAUCAGAGAAGCUUUGAGCACCAGUUAAAUCUGUUCCUUCCUUUUUUCAAAUAGCAUCAGGUUUUUCAGCUCUAUUUUUAUCCUUAAAUUGCAUUUAUUCCUGAGGUAGGCAGGGUAUUUCAUAUUUAGCAUACUCUCAAGACUGAGGGCAUUUGGCUCCUGGGAGAAUAGACAACCCCACACUUUUAAAACACAGAUUCUGAUGUCUAGUCAUGGGUCAGUUUAAAAGGUUGAAGAAUAUCCACCGUUGGUCACAUUAUAGGAGGCCAGGAACCAUCACAUUAAAAUGGGUGGGGAUUUUCCAUCCAGAGCAAAAAAGGGGGGUGGGGUUACUAUGGGAAGUCAUAAACCACACAGAGGUUAACCUAGUCAUCCUGGCUCUUUUCCACACUCCACCAUGCAGAACAAACAUCCUCUGAGCAGUCAGCAUGAGAAUGCUUGGAAAAGAGUCAUAAUAAUUACCCAAAUGUUUUCUAGAUAGAUCCUUGAUAUGCUCUUCUCUAUGCUUCUUUCACUCUAAAGUUGUUCUCUGAGGAGCUGAUGUCUUAUUCCAAGAUGUCUUAUUCCAAUAAUGACCCAUGCUUAUCUGCUCUGAUAUGAGGCCAUCCACUCAGCAGGAAUGAAUGUUGUAGAAUUCAGUCCUAUUCAGAGAAGCCAUAUCAAAAAGACUGCUAGCCAUCAAUAGUUGAGUAAGACUUUCUGUAAACAAAUAUUGGACAGAAUAGCCCUCUGUGACAGCAAAGUAAGGAUGAAAAAGUAAUUGGCCUAACUUCAUCUCCUCUAUCCUCCAGGGACUGGCAAAUUGGAGGUUUACUUAUCUGGAAUUUUAAUUCCUUCUUCAGGACCAAGUUAAUAAAAGACCAGGAAACUCCUGAUUAAACUGGAUAUGGAGUAUUUUGUAGACAGGGCUGCACAGUUUGACUUUGUUAGAUUUCUGCUUUCUCAGUUAACAUCUCAGAGCUGGAAUAUUCCACAUUCCCCAGCAGUGUGGGGGCCAACUCAAGUUUACAAUUCUGACUAAAAAUCACCCUGCUUCUAGUUUAUCCAAAUCCUCUGCCCCUCACUCCUAUUUAUUAAGCAUCACACUACCCAGGAGAUACACUAGCAAAUUGUGUAAUUGAAUAAAACCCACACUUUUCAUUUAGAUUCUUGCAACUGUAUCAUAUGUAAUAGUAUCACUUUUCUACAUUUUGGUCAAAUAAAUUUUUACAUAAACUAAAAAAAAAA